rnacentral:lncRNA from 1 species
UCAGACUCAGGUAUAAAAUGGCACGAACAAGUUUCCUUGAUUUCCAAUACAACCUCUCGAAGAGAAAAUACUUGAGGAAGCCGUCACGUCUGUUCUCAAGGGACAGACAGAACUCUGGACUGAGUCUGCUCUCGAAUAACAGACAGAACUCUGGGAUGAAAAACAUUUUUCAGCCUAGCCUUGAUGAGAUGAAGAUGGUGUUUGACAAAUUUGAUUCCAAUAAAGAUGGGAAAAUAUCUCAACAGGAGUACAAAGCUACUCUGAAAUCUCU